rnacentral:rRNA from 1 species
CACGUAGGGCGCAAGCGUUGUCCGGAAUUAUUGGGCGUAAAGGGCUCGUAGGCGGUUUGUCGCGUCGGGAGUGAAAACUCAGGGCUUAACCCUGAGCCUGCUUCCGAUACGGGCAGACUAGAGGUAUGCAGGGGAGAACGGAAUUCCUGGUGUAGCGGUGAAAUGCGCAGAUAUCAGGAGGAACACCGAUGGCGAAGGCAGGUCUCUGGGCAUUAACUGACGCUGAGGAGCGAAAGCGUGGGGAGCAAACAGG